rnacentral:rRNA from 1 species
AUGGUUAAAACAACCUGUGCUAUUUCACCUCCUGGAAGAGCUAUUGCGACGAAGCAGACCUCCUUCUCUAACAGGGUGCAAGGGGUGGUGUUGAGUCCUUUGCAAGAUCUUGGGGCGGCUGAUAUUACCAAGCAACAAAAGUUGAGGGAAGCUGAAGUUAGUGUUCAAAAGGCUAAAGAAAAGGCAGCUCUAGAUGAGGCGGCGAGGAGAAGAAGUGACAGGAAAAAACACAAAGAGGAGGCGCAGACUAUGGACAAAGCUACUGACAUGGCAAGGAGGAAGAAUUUGGAGACCCCAGUGAACAACAAAUCCCCAGGGAAUGCAAUGUGA